ensembl:lncRNA
GGGGGUUGAAAUGGUAGCUGCUUAAGGCCUGCAGACCUUUGGCAGGGCUGUAAAAAUACAAAUAAUAAUAAAAGGAGAGAGACAUUGUGACCCAGGCAGCAGUGGUAUGCCUGUGCAUGCAAGUCCAUCCGGGGUCUGACUAACUGUCUCACAAGGUCCACAUGGAACUUGUAAAGAUUUGCAAUAAUCCUUUAUUGAAACAAAACAGAGAACUUUACAGAUAGAAAUGGCUCAUACAGCAGGACCUUGGGAGGGGAGACAAGCCAAUGCAUAACUCUAUAUGGAGGAGAGCCUGCCAAGAUUCUAUGAUAGAUUUCUUCCUAGAGAAUUUUGGGUUACUUUUCAAGUUUCAGUGGGGAAUGUCUUCUGGAAACCUGUGACCUGAUGGUGGAAAACAAGUAUAAAACUCAGUGAAUCCAACAAGCGUGAGCUCUUCUGGAGGUUUCCUCCAGAUGCCUGCUGUUAAAUUAAGCAGCCUUCCAGAUGGAGCAGGAGAUCUUAACCAGUGCUGUGGCCACGCUCUCUCAUGCAAGGACCCCGUGUAGCCCUCCUUUCUAGUUUUCCUCUACAGGGACAAAGAAGUUACUGGUAAAGCUGUAAUAUCAAGUGACUGAUGGUGACACAGAGAUGCCAAUAAGCAUUUAGCUUUCUCUUUUGUUAACAUUUGUUAGCAGUAAUUAACCUGUAAAUAAGUAAGGACUGCGAAGCUAGGGCUGACCAAAGUGCCCUGUGGCAAAUGAGAGCAAUAGUGGACACCUUUUUUCCCCGUGCUCGGUUACAAAUCUGUUUAGAUGUUUGAUGGAGACAGAAGGUCAGGACUCCUUCCGAUCUAAACCUCCCUCCCAGACACCUACUGGAAAUCCCCUCCACCUCCAUGUUUUGGCAUGUUUUGGGAAGAUAAUCUGUAAAUAAGAUAGGCAAAAUCUGACUUCCCGUUCUAUGAAAAAAUGUUUCUCUUUUCUUUUUGCAAAGAACUGAGGAGUGAGGUUCAUUUAGUAAAUUCCUUUAUCUUGUCUCUCUGGGGAAGAUACUACUAAGUAUCAAAGAUGCCUUGGCAAGAUCCUUCUUUCUAAUCUGUUUUAUUCCUUCUUUGUUUCUUCUUCUUUUUAAUAUGUUCUUUUCCUUUAAAAAAAAACCAAGACUGAUGAUUUGGAUAAAUGGUUCCUUUUUUUAACCACUCUGACUCUUCUAAAAGCAGCAGUGGACAUCUUGAACAAACAGUGAACUUUUAGGAAAAGGUAUCCCAACUGCUAAAAGGGAACUGAAGAUACCCUCCUCAUUUAGUGAUGCUAAAGUUGAUGAUACCUACUGUAUCUUUUUCCUAAGGAGAUAACUCACUUGAACAGCAUUUUGUAUUCCUUAUUCUUCCUUAAAAACACAAAGAUCACUCUGGAGUCUUGUUACUUCUCCUGUCAUACCACAAUGAAUGUUCUCUCUACUGAAGCCUUUCCCUGAAAUUCUCAAUCCUGCAAUGAAUCUGGCAUGUGACAAGGCACAGAAACCCUCCUGUCAGCUUUAAGACAAGGCAGAUGGGACUCCUUACAACCAAGCGAAGGAGAACCCACUCAGCCACAUGUGCUUGUUGAACUUGACAGCUCCAUGUCAGCAGACUCUGGAUGCUGGGAGAAGAAAUUUCUUUGUGGUGCCUGCAAAUUUUCCAAAUUAAUUCCCUGCAAAGCAUGAGAAAGCACAAACCUGACCACUUUUAGGAAAGGCUGUUGCAAAAUAUUACUUCUUCAUGCAAUUUUUUUUUCAGAUGAUUGAUUUUAUAUCUCAGGUGAGGGGCCGUAAAAAAAGUGUGGAACUUUCUCUUCCUUACUGAAAUAUCGAAUGUGUGAUGAAAUCUUAUGAGUAUGGAGACAUCCUGGAGAUGGGCAUCAAAUAGAUAAAACUAAGGAAGCGAUUGUGGCCUGAAAAUAGAAGAGUAACUCAACAAAACAUAUUAUUAGGGUUUCUAUAUAUGUAUCUAACAUCUAAGGGAAAGAGAAAAGUCUUGACAUCUGCACAAGCUUAAAGAUAAACGUCAUUUUUAAUCAGAUAAAAAUCCAUGUCUUUUGUCAAAUCAUGCCAAUAAAAUGAGAGUAAUACAAGUCCUAUUGUCAAAUAUGCAGUGUAUUUCUAAAUGUGUUGCAAGUACAACACUGAUAAUAAUGAAUAGAUAGAAUACAGCAUCUGUACAAUGUUAGGGCUGGUAUGGCAAUUGCUGGAAGUAGGUUAUUACAUGUGGAGAAGAAAAAGUCUCCAGUGAAAGAUUUUCAAUUUUUUUUCAGGAAGAAAAGUAAGAGGAAUUAUAGCUUUAUUUGGGUUUACUCUCAAAUGCUUUGAGCGAAAAAAGAGUUUAGUUUUUUGUUUUUAAUCAUGCAUCUUUUUUUUCCUGUUCAGUAACACAUUGAUCAGAAGCUAGAUUCGUAUGGAGAGAAGCAUCUUGUGAACUACAGCCCAUAUUCAUAAUUUUAAGAGCAAUCUCACUGCUGCUGCCUUGUGCUGCUCCUGCAGGAUUACCAUAUCGCAUCAGCUGCUAUUGCACACCAGUGAGUUACAGCUCUUUGGCGCACUGACCUUAACUUCAGGACGUUUACAGAAGCAAGUCUGGAUUGUCAAACUCUACAAGAGGCAUUACUGGUAUAAUCUACACUGUAACUGGUAUUCAGCAUUUUAUUUGAGUGUAGAAUGAUGUAUUUUGAUCACUCGAAACGAAAUCAUUUUUGCAAUUCAGUGGUUGAACUGUUAAAACAAUGUUUCUAUUAGCACAGAGAAAAGCCAUCUCUUCCUUACAAUACAGACUUAAGAAAAUCUUAAAAGAACACUUAAAAACGUGUUCUUUAGAUUUUGCAGACCGACCCUAAAACUUUCCAUCACAGGUUUGGAGUUUAAAGGGGGAUAUUUAUGGUUUGAUCUGAGAAUAGACAACUACUCACAUUGUCCUCCAGCCACCACAGUGCCAUUUCUACACAGACACAUAGAUGCUCAUGGCAUGUAGGAGGUGCUCUGGGCUGAAGGGUGCUAUAAAUUCAUGCCCCAGUGCACAACCAGAAUAUGGAAACAACAGUCCCUUUAGGGUAGCCUACAAGGAACCACAUCAGUUUUUCAGUGGUUAAUAACAAUAGUGGUUAACUGAGGUGGUACAUUGUACAUAAUCGUGAAUAGUGAAAAGAUAUUUUGUAAGGAAGAGCCCCUGAACUUUGAUGGUGGCAUCAUUUUUUUUCUGCAGUUUUUGUAUUUGAAAGGCAGGGCUGCUGGAACGCUGAUGCCAGUCACACAAUUUACUGGCUGUGGUUUACAUGCACAUAAUUCUUCCUUCUUUAUUUUGCAGAAACAGUCAAGCUUCAAAGCUGUGGAAUGUGUGGGAAUUAGCUUUUAGUUUCCUAAAUUCACUUGAAUCAUCUUUUAGCUUCCUAAUUAUUCUCUUAGUCAUGACUUAGAAAGAAACCAUACAAAUAUGAAGGGCUUUGUUUGGUUCCAAUGCUGAGUUGGGCUAGUAGUACCAUGAAAAACUAAGAAAUGCUGAGGCUGUCUUUCUACCUUGAAUUCCACAGGAACUGUAGAUGCUUCGUAGUGACACGGGCUUUGAUUUGAAAUUACGUUACAUAAAGCAGAAGGGAAAAACUGAGUCUAUCUCACAGCUACAGCUGCUGUAAUUCUAUGAUGGAAAGAUCUAGAAGUAGAGAAAAAGACUGCCAAAAGCCCAGGUGCUAAAGCCCCCUUUAAUUCAUGUCUUAAUAUCUUCUGCCAAGACUCUCCUGGAAAGCAACAAAAGCUUGCUAUGGUGAUCCCAAAUGAGAUGCACGAUAAAAAAAAACCUGCUUAAAUAUAGCAGUAAGAAAACAGACGGAAAUCUCAAAUGGGUUGUUACUCUUACAGUGUUGCAAGAGCUUUAAUAUUCACUGAAAGUUGCUGUCUCCAGCUGUCAUUCAGGACUUUCAUUUCCAUUCAGGAGAAAAGGAUGAAAAUCGAGCAAUUUCAAAAAUACGAAUGCUAUUCUGGGUUAUGGAGAUGUGUGAGUGACAAUGCACUCAAAAGGUCAGCCAAGAGGAUGGUCCAGGUCCUGAAAAUGAAUGAGCCACAAACCUCUCUGGAAGUUCAUACUCUUCUAAUUGUUCCAAAUUACAGCUUCAAAGCUGGGGCAUUUAUGCAUCUAAUUUCAAGCCUACUUGCUUGAAAAACUUCUGUUUUCCAGAAGUUCUGCUGACUAAGUUUGGCCAAUAUGCAAGAUGAUAUUUUGCUACAGUCAUGGUUUUGUCUUUGUGUACAGCAUCUGUGUGUUUUGUUCACUCAUUUACUAUAGUUGUUGCAAACUCUCUCUGCUCUGGAACAUCCAAGACUUCCUUGGCAGUAGUUUUUUCAGAAGUUUAACAGAUUUCAAAAUCUCAUGGCAUUUUGCAUUGAAGCUGCUACCAACUACCAGAAUUAAAAAGAAAGUUUAUUGUUUGAGGAUUAAGCUGGGAUGAUGAUAAUAAUUAGAUUUACAGUUUCUGAAAACUUAUAUGUGAACAAGGAGAUAAACAGAUAAUUAGUGCUAACUUUAUAAAUCAAAGGCUAGAGUGCCAUAUUAUAUGACGUUGAAGAGUUGGCAUCUAAAACUACCUCCACCUGAAGGAUGAUAUGUCAAUAACUGAUAGUUGGCAGCACCCAGGGAGACACUUCAAUACCUGAAAUCCUUUCCAAGACAGUGCUGAAUGCUGGGAUAAAAGAUGAAACCUUCUGGCUACACAUAGCUAAGAAGAGCCUUGGUGCUUGGUUGUGGCUGGAAAUAUGAAGGACAGUGUCCCCACUGAUAUGUGCUGCCCCUGGAAGCCCACUGUAAGUGUUUGGGGCAGUUCUCUGUAGUACAAAAAUGCAUACUUCCUUUACUUAGGCUGUGCCUCUUCCUCCCUCCAGUUCCCCUGCAUAGAAAAGCAAUAGUUUUGCUAAAAAUGACAGCAGAAGACGUAUUUGAUUAUUGUAUUUAGCAGUACACAUUUCCAGUUAUACACUGUGUGCUGGAGCCUUGGACACGCUGUGAGUAGGGUUUUUGCUGGUUUGUGAUCCCACUCUUAUUUUCUGUUGGCACAUAUCAAUGCAAAAGUACAGGUUCACAGAUUUUUCUGUCUUAGUGUGGAUCCAAAUCAAAUGCUCUCAGUGUAAAAUUGUUGUUUGUGUUUGUGUGGGAGGGGGCACAAAACUAAGCUGGCCUAUCAGCAUUAGGAGUAAUGUCCUUUUAGUUUCUACAGAGCUCGUUUUCACCCAGAUAUUCUUUGGGGUAUUGUAUGUAUUGGCUUAUAAAUGAGAUGUAUCUGCA